CCUUGCAAGGCAAAAAAGAGAGCGUUUAUUUUCUGACUCCAACUUUUAUACUUCUCCAAAGGUGACAGUGGAUUGGAGAGUGAACGGGCCACCUCUCCGAAGACAUUGGACAAAGCACUAGUACAUCAAGUCUCUCCACCCCCAUGGAGGAAUGCAAAACAAUACGUUAUUUACAGAAACUGUGUGGGAAAGUUUCCCAAUAGAAUGUAAAUUCAGAAGGCUUAAGAAAACUCAAGAAUCAGGGCGACAUCUCACCCUUUUUAGUUUAAAAGAAAAGGAAAAAUGAAUAAGGUUCAGUGUCUGUUCGUGGAGGAAUCAUCAGAGUGAUCACCCACCGUCAUCUUCAACUGAGUCAUCACUCGAUGAUCCAUCCAUUUGAUGACUUUCAGUUUGGUCACGGCUUCUAUGUUGCCCGUUUGUCGGAUUCUGUCUCUGCGGUUGCAGAUCAGGACGAACACACCUUGAAGGUACCCAGUGUACCCCAGUAUCUGUGGAUACACAAGCAUACCCGCGCCCCGAAGCGAUAAGGUCAUAGGGACCUUCCCAUUGUUUAGUGACUAAAUUCCGCACUCGAACUUUUGCUCGAGGCUGAUGUGCCUCGUCUGCAGCUUGCAAUGAGAGAUGAUGAUUUAAAAUGACAGGGUUAUUUGAAUUCUGCUGCACUGUAAGAUGAUUGAUGGUGUACAAUGCUUUCUCCAACCGACUGUGCGGGGUCUCACCCUGCAUUCCCCGUUUUUGUUUUUGAAGAACCCGCUUCAGAGUACCAUGAGCGCGUUCUACAAUAGCUUGGCCGGUUGGAGAAUGGGGAAUACCAAACUUGUGUGACACACCCCACAACUGCAGGAACUGCCGCACCUGCUGCGAUGCAUAAGCAGGACCAUUGUCGGUUUUCACAGCAGAAGGUAUGCCCAGAACGGCAAAGGCCUGCCUCCAGUGGGCAAUGACAUCAUGAGCCUUUUCUCCAGUGUGAGCGGAAGCCCACAUCGCAGAGGAGAACGUGUCCACCGUGACAUGCACAUACUUGAGCCGGCCAAACUCGGCAAUCUGGGUGACAUCAGUCUGCCAAAGCUCCAAGGCCCUAAGGCCUCUAGGGUUUACCCCUGCUGGUAAAGGCGGAGCAAGUGCAUGGCAGUCGUCACAGGACUCAACAAUGCUACGAGCCUCUGUUGGCGUUAGCUGAAACUGCUUCUGCAGAGUAUGUGCAUUCUGAUGGAAAAACCCAUGUGAUGCCUUGGCCUGUGCGAGUGUAUCAGGCUGGGGUGCUACCCACGCCGGAUUAGCCAACUUGUCAGCCCUCGCGUUACCUUCUGCUACAAACCCUGGUAAAUUGGUGUGACUUCUCACAUGCAGAAUGUAAAACGGAUGAACCCGGGCCUGAAUAGCACACCACAAGGUCUUCAGUAAAUGAAACAAGGCAGGGUUACUGACCUCCUUCAAAACUGAGUGACCCAACCGCUGUGCGAUAUCAGCCACAUAGGCAGAAUCCGUGACCAAAUUGAAAGGUUCCUGGGAAAAUCUCUCAAAUGCCAUAACAGCGGCCCUCAACUCAACCACUUGGGCCGACCCAUCCUGAUGACCUUUCAGAACCUUCCACUCAGAUCCGUCCUUCCAAGUAACAAUGGCCUUUCCUGUUUUCCCCGAACCGUCAGUAAAGACGGUGGGUCCUUGCACAGGUUCCUGACUAUUUUUGGGCCGCAAAGAGAUCUGCAUAGAUUUUGCCACCUGCAGUAGCUUGUGGCUGGGCAAAUGAUAAGUGAUCUGCCCUGAAAAGUUUUCUAGAGCACAUUGCAGGGACACACAGUGUGCAAAGCUCCAGUCAAAGUCCUCCCGGGAUAUCGGGAGUAUGAUCUUUGCAGGAUCCGCACCCAUCAAUUGCAAACACCGUUGCCGGCAUUUCAUUAUCAACCGAGCAAUCAACUCAGCCAAUGUCGUUGCCGUCUUCUGCGGCUGAUGGGGCAGGAAAACCCAUUCCAAGAUGUGCAAGGGAUCGGACCAUUUGUCACUCCAUUGACCAAUGAUACCUGUGGGAUGCGAAUCUGGAGUGGUAACGAACACAGCGACAUCAACGGAAAGAUCAAUGCGAUAAACCUGACGGGCAGAAACAGCCUGCUGAACCUCCUCCAGCACCUGACGUGCCUCAGGGGUCAAUGUGCGAGGUGAUUUUAAAUCAGAGUCUCCUUUCAACAGAUCAUACACAGGAGACAGUUGUGCAUCGGUUAGUCCCAAGUAUGGACGUAACCAGGUGAUGACACCCAUCAGUUUUUGAACAUCAUUCAGUGUCUUGACCGAGUGUGCAAAUUGCACCUCCUGGUGUUGGAUUGUCCGUUCCAGAAUUUUGACCCCCAAAUACUUCCAAGGAGGUUGCUGUUGAACCUUUUCUGGAGCCACCUGCAGCCCAUGAGCAUGCAAAGCAUCGAGCAACCGAGGCUGAAUCCUCAGCAGCUCAUCCUGAGUGGACGCAGCCACCAAGAUGUCGUCCAUAUAAUGAUACAGACGUGCAUCAGGAAACUGCUUGCGAACUCCAGACAAGGCACGGGCCACAUACCAUUGGCAUAUGACCGGGGAAUUGCGCAUCCCCUGUGGCAGAACUUUCCAUUGAUAUCGCUGUGCAGGCUCAUCAUUGUCAAUUGCUGGCACCGUGAAGGCAAAUUUCGGUCUGUCAUCGGGAUGCAAAGGAAUUGUAAAGAAACAAUCCUUCAAAUCCACGAUGAAGAUCGGCCAGCCUGCAGGAAGCAUGGCAGGCGAUGGCAUGCCCGCCUGCAAUGUUCCCAUGCCUUCCAUGACCGCAUUGACCUUCCGGAGGUCCUGUAACAACCUCCAUUUCCCAGACUUCUUUUUGAUGCAGAAAACAGGGGUGUUCCAGGGACUGUUAGAAGGCUCCAGACGACCCUGGUCCAGCUGCUCCUGCACCAAUUUCCGAAGGGCGAUCAGUUUAUCUUGAGGGAGGGGCCACUGGUUUUCCCAAACAGGUGUAUCCACCAGCCACCGUAUAGGAGGCGUAGGACACUCUGCGCCCUUCGCUGCAGUGGCCCCCAUCAAAAACCCGUCCCAAUGCGCACCCCCCACGCAGAUAGAACAUCCCUCCCCCAGAGGUUAGCAGGAGAAGAAGUAACAUAAGGCCUAAUCCAGGCCGUCUGUCCCUCUGGGUUUGUGACCAGCACAGGCCGUUGGCUCACAUAACACCGUGCUGUUCCCCCCAGGCCCGCAACAGACGUCUCCGCUGGAUCCAGGGGCCAUUCCGGAGGCCAGGCGGCAAGGGAGAGAACCGUGACAUCAGCGCCGCUGUCAAGGAGCCCGCGCAGGCGGAUCUCUGACGGUGUUGCAUCAGGGAUGGAGAGGGUACACAGCAUCUCGGGACGGUCUUUGGUCAGGACAGCAGUCCAGUGAACUUGAGGCGGCCCAGUGGAUCCAAAACCGCCAUCGCCUCGCAACCGGUCAGUCGUCCUGCGAACAGAAGACUUAAAAGGCACAAGUUGAGCAAGCCGUGUCCCUUUUGGGAUCGUAACAGGGGGUGUGGGUGUGGAAACCAUUGCACAAAUCUGCCCUGUGAAGUCUGCAUCAAUGAGACCCAGGUGCACAAUGACGCCCUGAAGGGUGGCACUAGACCUCCCCAUGAGGAAGGCGCUCAUGCCUUCACCCAAGGGACCAAAGGCGUCCAGGGGAACCUUGUGCACCUUGCAAGAGUCUAACACGACUGUUGCUGCUGUGCAGACAUCCACACCUGCUGACCCGCGGGUGCUGGCGACAAGCUGGCCGAGCAGACCUCCAUGGGCUCUGGGGUCUGGAGAGGAACUUGUGUCUGAGCGCGCCCCCCCUUCGCGCUCCGCUUCCCGUUUCCCGGGCCCGGGAGUGCUUGGCCAUUAACAUGAACCGUCGCCUUGCAAACCUCUGCAGGAUGGCCUGGCCUUCCACACCGGCCACAAACAUACGAGGGAAAUUUUCCUUUCUGUGCUUUCUUCCCCCGUUUGGUGCUCGCCUGAGCAGCUCCCCGGGGCUGCUGCCAGCCCUGCGGUGCUGCCCAGACCGGCUGCGCAGCAGCAGCCCAAGCAUCCGCCUUCUGAACCGAGGGGCCUAGGUCUGCACAGGCCGCUGCCAUCUGUGAAAGUGUAGCCCCUUCAGGAAGAGCCUGUAUGAUUCUCUUGCAUUCUGCGUUGCAGUGGAUCCUAGCAAAUCUCGCAAGGACCAUUCGCCUUAGCUCAGGUUCUACCACCUGCCGCUCCACCGAGGCAGUCAACCUCGAUGCAAAGUGCAUGAAUGACUCAUCGGCCCUUUGAACAACAGUCAGAAAGGGUUCCAUCGGGGCAGCCAUUUCUAAGGUCUGGAUCACAGCUGCUAAGCCUAACGUCCUGCACUGCUCAAGCACGAGAGGAUUGUAUCCCGCCUGCCCCUGAGGAUCAACAUAAUUACCUGUGCCCAUCAACAUGUCGGCGGUAGCUACACGUCUGGGAUCCUGCUGCCCCCGCGUAGCAUUCUUCCGUACUGCACUGGCCACUAAAGCGGCCCACUUGUCCUCAAACACGUCAAAUUGCACAGGGUCAAAAAGAGCCUGAGCCACAGAACGAAUAUCGAAAGGCGUCAGCAGGUUAGCAACAAGUAAUCGGAUCGUCUGCAUAACCUCAGCAGACCCAACACCAUACUGUGCAACGGUGUCUUGGAUUUCCUUCAACACCUUAAAUGAAAAAGGCUCAUGAGUGUUAUGAGUAACACCCCUAAGCACAGGGAAAGCCUGAGGACCCCCUGGUAAGGCUGCAUUAUCCACCGUAUCGUGUCCCGUAGCCUCCGGGACACUGGCAGCCCCUGGGCUGCGAGGCGGUGCAACAUCACCGGACACCACGCCCCCCGCAGCAUCAGCAGAGCCAGAGGAGCCUUCCCCUUGAUCCGGCAGGCUCCGCGAGGGGCCGAAGUCGCACAUCUCCUCAGCCUUAUCCAGGACCUCCUGCCAAAACCGCCCGUGGUCCUUCGGACGCACGGUCACCUGGCAGGCAGGGAGGGUCCACAAGGUCGACUGGGAGGAUCCGCGGCCACGGGGAGUCACCGGUCUCCCGCCGGCCGCGUCAGCAGUCGCGCUAAAGGUGAACACCCCAGCGCCCCGCUGUGCCGCAGUCCCGGCCCCCGCGGCAGGCGGGGAAGGCGGAACCGAACCAGCCGGUGCCCCAGCGGUGCUGUCUGCAGUAUCAGCAGAGGGCACCGCGGCGGGCGCAGGCGGAGGCGCAGACCGCAACCCCAGCGCAGCGCUCCCAUCCCCCGGGACGGGGGAAGGACGGGGCGAAGAGGGAGACGCGGCGCGCGGAGACACGUCACCGCGGGACGACACAAGGGAGUCUGGCACGCCCCCAAGAAGCGUCAGACCCGCGCCGCGCAGCCUCCCGGUGGGCACCGCCCCCAUCAGGCAGGACGGGGCAGGCUGCCCGCCUGCCGGGGCGGGGUCCGAUGGAACAGUGACCAAGGCCCCGCCUUUGGCAGCCCCCACCGCCUGCGCAUGCCCGGCAGGCCGCGCAGGCUCAGGGAUCGGAGCGGGUUCCUCCUCAGAAGAUGAACCCGAGACCGGACCGGGCGAAUGCGCCUGUGUCUUCUCCAGGGGAAAUGUAACACCACAGUUCGGGCAAUUCACCGUCACCGAGUCAGACGCAAUCCGAGGCGGGGGCUGAUCCACGGGCCCCCGUUCACCCCCGAGCGCCGGGAAGGCACAAAGAGAAAGUGCUUUCCCGCCCAGCCCACUACGCCUGCGACGCGGGGCAGGGCGAGGCGGCCGAAGCGGCCCCACCGACCGGAUGCCUGAAGCCAGUGGCCUGGGAGCCCGAACCACACCAGAGGAGGAGCCACCUUCCGGCUCACUCCCCCCGGGGCUAGGGGAAUCAGGGCAACUGUACAGAGACUCAGCCUCCCCAGCAUCCGCAUCCAAGACAGAUAGGUCCCCCAGAGAAGCCCGAGAACUGCCAACCUCAGACCCCUGCCAAAUGGCAUCCAACCUCUUAAACAGCAUCAUCAGCGGCCCAACAUCUUCAAAACGAUUAUCAAGCAGGGCAUCCAGGAGGCGAUCUCCCACGGGAGACCAAUUCUCCCAGGAAAGGGCCUCAGCAAGAUUGGGAAAGAAUCCCUGCUCCCUUGCCCAUAAAAACAGCCUCUCAAAAUCAUCCCAAUAAAAAGGAACGCGUUUCCGCUUUAGCACCUCCCUCCAAACGUCCAAAGCCACAGACUCCUCCCUAAUGCCCUCAAAGCUCUCCAUUACCAAAAAAAACAGCAAUAGACAACGCUCUAAACAAACAGAAAAACCUCACCAACAGUUCCCAGCCUAAGCUGCAAUACACUUCGGCGGUCACCAGAUGUCGCUAUAGGACACGAGAAAGCAAUGCGAGCCACUUGCUACCUUGCAAGGCAAAAA
ensembl:lncRNA